CUUAUAUUUUCUUGCAAGUUUUUUUUAUCCUGUUAUUUUGGUGUUGUGGAGAUACUUUGAUCAGAUGGAGUUUGAAGAUAUAUAUUGUACCUAUGUAUUGGUAAAAUGGUAAUUCAGAAGCAAAAAAAUUCGUGGGCCUACUUUAUUGAAAGAUAUUUGGAAACUUCCGAUGGGGAAGAUAAUUGAUGUGCUGUUUAAUAAUCGUAACCAAGCCAUUGGGAAAGAGGGUCGAAAGCUUGCUAGCUUUCUAGGAAUUAUUGCCAGAACUCCAGAACUAACACCGUUACAUAUAGAUAAUUGGAGAAAGUUUAACAACAAAGAAAAGAAGAAAUUGGUGGAUUUUGCCAGGAAGAAGUUCUCUAUCCCAAAAUGUGGAGAAGCGUGGGUCUUAAAGUCACUAGGAAAGAAAUGAAAAGAUUACAAGUGCAAUUUAAAGGGUGAAUAUGCGCAAAAAUAUAAGACUAAAGACGCUUUACUAAAAAAUAGACCAAGUCGUAUACCGAGGGAUCAAUGGAGUGAUCUUGUCUCUUAUUGGCUCUCUGAUAAAGCUAAGAGACGUACGCAAGCAAAUAGAAACAAUAGGGCCAAGCAAACGAUGCCUCAUACAGGAGGAUCAAAAAGUAUUGCCACCUUGAUGAAUGAGCAGGCUGUAAACGGGAUAGUGCCUACACGAGCAGAAAUUGUACUAUUAACUCAUAAAAAAGUAAGGAUGGUAGGCCACCGGAUGAUGAUUCUAUCAAGACAAUCGAAAUGAUAAAUGAAAGGAUGAGCAAUAGUGAGAGAUCUACUGAGCAACCUCCUUGUAGCGUUGCUUGGGAAGGCGUGUGUAUUCCCAGGUGUUGGGAAAUGAAAAAAGUGAGUAUGUUUGUGGUUUAGGACUUGGUCCAACUCCUUCUGUUCUGUGGGGUAGUAGGUCUUCCUUAGGAAAUAUUGUUGUAGAUGAUUCUUCUAAUGAGGUUAUACAAAGGUUACAACAACAGAUGAUCGAGUUAAAGAAGAAACGAAAUGAAGAAAUGAAUAUUAUGAAACAAAAUCAGGAGAAUAUGCAAUCAGAAUUACUCCAUAUGAGACAAUUAAUGUGCAAUUAUGCUCCUAAUGCAUCUAUGCCUCAAAGUAGCAAUGACACCUUAGGUGAACAGAUUCCCGAUGCCAAUAGUGGACAUGAAUGAGUACCACAAACAUCAAGAAUGCAUAGUGCUGCUGAAAAUGCUCAACCUUCUCAUGGUCAUACAGUCUGAUGUUCGAUGAUUUAGCGGUUGGAAGAUUUCAAAAUGAUGAAAAGUUGCGGAAAUCAUUUGAAGACC